GUCCCCCAUCUGUAAGUUAUUCUGAGUUUGUAUCUGAAGGCUGGAGAAGAGAAGGUGGAAAGGUACCAAGAACUGAAGAUGUACUGAAGGCUAGGGAACUGGAACUUCAGCCAUUGCUGGAGAGGAAUAGUUCCAGUUCAGAGAAUACACAACGUUGGAUCUCCAUAGACAAUGAAGACUAUGAGCUAAAACCAAUACAUGCGACAUUACUUCCAAGGAAAGUUCACGUGUUUUACAAACCAGCAGUGAGUUUGAGCUGAACGUCGUUCAAGGAAAGAGAUCACCAAUACAUUUCCACAAAAACACCUUCACACACAGUCACAGUGUGGAGUGUCGUUUCUUGGGCUGGUGUUACUACCCCACAUUUGUUUCCACUGCCAAUGUCACAACUGAAAGAGAUUUCAUUUUUAAGACUUACGUCUUGAAAAGAAAUGAGUGAUACUUAAAUACUUUUAUGUAUUAGUUAUUCAUCCUGCAUUAAUUAUAAUAACGUCACGUAUUUCUCAUCCAUUCUGCAUUUUGUUAAGUAUUUUAUGAAGCCUUAAGAGGUCUGUGUACCAAUUUUUUGAGAAAUAAAAUGAAGGUGGCUGCCUUUUGGGAUGGUGCACCAUGCCCCUGGUAGAAAUUGAAAUUUCAGAGGAGCUAACUGCCUUCAGCAUCAGUGCAGUGAUGUAGACAGUAACCUCCUUCGAAACGUCAAGUCAGUGUCUGCCAAAAUUACACAAUGCAACAUUUCGUACUCGUUGCCACAGGAGUCUGAAAUCUCAUCAAAUAGAAAUUAAGUUUGGUAAUCCACAUUACCCCGUGCUAUGCACGUUUUUACGAACUUUGCACAAGGAACAAAUAAAAUGUAUUAGGGUA